UUAUAAAAAUGAAUUUUAAUGUGUUUUAGCAGCAACAGACAAUAUAGUUCAGUGUUUUCUUUAGCAAGUUUUAAGCUAAUUGUUAGAUAUAUAUCAGUGUUUCCCAAACUGUGUUCCGCAGAACCCUAGUGUUCCUCGAGACCUGAAUAGGUUUUCCACAAACUAAUGGAAUAAUUAACUAGUAGGUCACCUGGUGAAUUAACUUUUAUAAAAAUAAGCAAAGUGUUCCGCCAACUACUCAUAAUGAGCGAAGGGUUCCCUUUCUUUUAAGCUUCAUCUAAAAAAUUAAGAGAAACAAAAAAACAGGCUCCCACAAUGGACUGUCAAUCUCAAGGUUUAUUCUGAACAUACGUUUUGUAAACACAGGCACAAUAGAAAAUAGCAAUGACCAUCUGACCAUAAUAAGAGAGAUAAGUGGUGCACAUAUUAACAGCGAUAGUUUAGCUUUGCAUUUCAAACAAUAUGCAGCAACAAGGAGUUUUACCUCAGUCACAACCAGGCAGGAGCAGGCAACAAGAUUAGACUUAUAAAGAACAGCUGUACAUUUUAUGAACUUUUGGAACAGCUGAAAAAUUGUAUUUAACUUAUAAGAACAGCUGUACAUUUGCAUGAGCUUAAAAGAACAGUUGUACAUUUUUAUUAAAAUAGUUUAUAGGUCAGAAAAAAAAAAUUUGCUGUAAUGAAAAAAGCUAAAAUUUUAUUGCAAUACUUUAAUUUGUCUACAAUAUCUUUCAAGAAAUAAUAAUGUCGAAGAUUAUAAAUUUCAUUUCUAAAAAUCUGUUUGCUCCUUUAAGAUAAAUGAGUAAUACAAAUUCUGUCAUUUUAUAUCAGCUUAAUUUCGCUUUUGUUUUAGCUGAGUCAUCUGAAUCAUUGGAAAGACAUUUUGAUGCUCUAAUGUAGUCCACACAUUACUUUGCGUCCAACAUCUACUAACCAUUGACUGAUCUAUUUGUGACCUUUUUGCAUAAGGGCCCAAAACUUAGUGAUAAGCUUCAAGGCAGUUUUAUAUUUUGUAAAAAGAAUUUAACAUUUUUUAUGACCAAUUAUAUUGACUUCAAAAUCAAAUCUAAAGCUCAAAUUGUUUACUAUGUUAUUUUUUAAAAAAAAUA